GACAGAGGUGGCCGAGCGUUAGGCGGAAUCACUGGGCUUAAAGCGUGUGUAGGCGGAUGCCUAAGUACCUUGUGAAAUCCCACGGCUUAACCGUGGAACUGCUUGGUAUACUGGGUGUCUUGAGCCACUUAGGGGCGACCGGAACAAACGGUGGGAGCGGUGAAAUGCGUAGAUAUCGUUUGGAACGCCAAUGGUGAAAACAGGUCGCUGGGAGUGUGCUGACG
rnacentral:rRNA from 1 species